rnacentral:lncRNA from 1 species
GGUAUCAACACCCGGUCGGUCGUCCUCUGGGGACACCCAUGCAUCCGCCUUCUGGCCUUUCCAUUCUCUCCAUCCAUUUCUCUUAACAGAAUGCCCGUGUGAUGACACGGGCUCCCAUUACCAGCUCUGGUCUGUUCUCAGUGAGAAUACAGCUUACCCUCGGCACUCCUGAUUGGCAGUGGAAAUUUUGCUUCAGUACUUUAUUGAAAGAAAGCAAUAAAUAAUACUGUGAUAAAAAUAGUUCAAAAGUAGACUGUACAUACUUUGUUACAUAUUCAGGAAGUUCACAAAAGAUUAAUAGAAAACAGAACAGUAACAACGAAUUAUACAAGUGAUUAAAGCGGACCCACAUGGAAAGAGACCUGCCGUCUCUCUACGAGAUCUCAGCUGCACAAUAAGUAACGCACCAUGAUCUGAACGCCUCUUGCUGGCUUUUUAAUGUGCCGCUGAAAAGUAAAAGUUACAUUUGCUACUUAUACAAUCCAAAAUGGCUAUGUCAUCAAAAUCUAAAAUGUACGCCUAGGUCCAUUCUUUAAACAUGUUUACAAACAGAUGUAAAAGAUGAUUUACAUAAAAUAAGGCCUUUGUCAGAGCUGCACCACGCUGUCUGUCGGGGUGUGGCGCCUCCUGUCCAGCACACCAGGUCUGCAGUGGGUGCAGGGCAUCACGAUUGGUCCUUGAAGAGUAGGCGCUUGACCCUGCCUCCCAGGAGGAGGGCAGGAGGGCGGGCACAGCGGGCUGUGCGCCCAGGCCCCCACCCCACCCCCGCCAGUCUCUCUUCCCCAGCUCGUGGCUUCUGCCAGUCACCGGAGAGGAGGGAUCGGGUCCACGGAGACUGGGUUACCCAAGAGGUUUUCACAGUCCUCUUCUAGUCAUCCUUUCAGCCCAAAUUUGAUUAGAAGCUCACAUUUAACACCCAGUACUUUUAAAUCUCUUCACGCUGCAGAGAAAAAGCAUUUCUUGCUAGAAAAAGUACAGUUUAGGUCAGUCGUUAAAAUACAACAACAAUUGGUUGAAAUUAAGUUCGCCAUUUCAGAGUGAUUGUUGGAGAGCUUGGUUACAUUCUGGAAGGAUAAUGCACACCGUGUCAUGAUUUUACAAUCGCAGUAAAACCCUUCUCUCAUGGUUUAUCAUUUAAAAAUUAAACAAGAAUAAUUACAAUAAAUGCAUCAUUUACAAAAGCCCUAUAUUUGUUCAUAGGAUUUAUACAUACAAGCAUUACAGUACAUUCAUUUGAAAGACUAAAAUCAGGUAUCAGGACAUGAAUUGAUCUGAAAGGAUAUUUAUAGCCUGGAUAUACAAGAAAAAGUAAGUAACUAUAUAAAUGAAGUCAUAAGUUUACAUAAAUAUAAGAAACAUUAAAUUCUAAAAUAUUUUCUAUGGUAUUCAUGAAUUUUUCACUAAUUAAAAACUCUGUAAUAAAAUAUCUUCGGUCCAUAUAACAAGUAUGAACAGAGU